CAGAGAAUUUACAACAGCGUCCAAACUACUAAUGACACUCAAGAAUAGGAAGGCCAGAGUAAACUUUGCCAGAAAACAUCUAAAAAGUCUGC